UACGAGGGGGGCGAGCGUUGUUCGGAAUUAUUGGGCGUAAAGGGUGCGUAGGCGGUUUGGUAAGUCUUAUGUGAAAUCUAUGGGCUCAACUCAUAGUCUGCAUGAGAAACUGCCUGGCUUGAGUAUGGGAGAGGUGAGUGGAAUUCCUGGUGUAGCGGUGAAAUGCGUAGAUAUCAGGAGGAACACCUGUGGCGAAAGCGGCGCACUGGACCAUAACUGACGCUGAGGCACGAAAGCUAGGGGAGCAAACAGG
rnacentral:rRNA from 1 species